GCCGGGACUGCUCGUCCUCAAGAAGAAAAGGGACAGGGACAGGUCUCUUCAAUGUGUACAGAUGAUCUGAAUGGCCAGAGUGAGGGGGCCGGACUCUUUGUGUUGGUGCCCAGUGAGAGGAGAGGUGGCAGUGGGUAAACAUCAGAACACAGGGAAUGCUCUUUAAACAUAAGGCAAGACUAGUUUGUUAUCGUGAGGGUGGUCGAGCACUGGCAUAGGUUGCCCAGAGGACUGUGAAGUCUCCAUCCUUGCAGGUUCUCAAAACUUGCCUGGACACUAUCCUGGGUAGCCAGCUGUAUAGCUGGCUCUCCUUGAACAGGCAGAUUAGUUUGCACUGUUUUUAGAGGUCCUUUUUGUUCUCAGUAGUUUUCUCAUCCUGCAAAACUGUUGGACAGUAGCACGUUCACAUGGUGCUGGUGGCGACAGGUGGACCAAAACCCAAGGUGACUGGAAAAAGGAGUACCCAUCUUUAAAGAGCAUAGAAAAGAGGACCUUUCAAGCUACCAGCCUUUCAGUGUCACCUCCAUGCCUGGGAAGAUCACGGGGCAGAUCCUCCUGGAAGCUCUGCUAAGGCACCUGGGGGACAGGGAGCCAGUGCGGCUGCACCGAGGUGAAUAACUUCUGCGUUUGUCAGCAGUGGUGAUUAAAUUUCUUUCCUCCAGUCAGCUUUCCAGUUUGACAGACUUUGUCAGUGGUAUAAAACUGACCACUUGGUAUGCCGUGGGAACUUGAAGAGUGUAAAGUAAGACACAAGGAAUUUUGCAGUGCACGUGAUGGCAGCUGAAGAAGAAAAUAGGAAAAGGUAUGGCCAAAGUGAAAACUGGCUGAAUUUGUAUGCAGUAUCAGUCAGACCUGUGGGCAGAUCAGACACACAUAGCUCCAGUGAUCUCCAGUGAUCUCCAGUGAUCAGAGAGAUUGGGCAAUUGCCUGAAGGUCCCUGAUUUACAGUCAUGGAAUCUUAUGGGAAAUGGCCAUGUAAGAUUUCUCUGAGCCUGAAAUACCUUUUGCUUUAUUUGCGAUGGGAGGGUUGACAGCUGAGUAGUGAAGCAGCAGCAUGAUUUGCUCUUUUAGAUGGAAAAUUGAUAGAGGUAAAGUUGACACCUUCUAUCAGUACAGUACAACUGCAAAGCAUCCGUAAUCCAUUCAUCUCCCAGUAUCCAGUGUUUGCAGUUUUAAUGAGGAAUUUACAUUUUCAGAAAGAUUGGAGGUAGCAGGGCAUUCAGACAUGCAUCACCAUAAAUAUGUAUUUGAAUUCCACUGUAACUUUGGGAGGUAUUGGUGACAAAAUUUUGUUAGUUAUAUAAUACUAUCAGUGGAAUUAUUUAAUCUGAGGAUUCAUGAUUAACUGCUCCUGGUGAUGUUUCCAGAUAGCAUCAAGUCAUGAUAAUUUUAAAAUCUUGGCCACAAAGAUUGUGUUAAACAAGUACAUAGUACAUUCUUCCCUAGCCAGGAGUGAGAACACACCAGGCUUUAAAAUGCAACAUGAGGGAAGAUGGAAUAGAUUUCUCCCUUUUUCUUACUGCAAUGCAAUUUUAAUUGGUCUUUGAAUUUUUUAGCGUCUGAUGUAAUUCAUUCCAGGUUUAAUUAAUAGUUAGUCACCAUUGUUAUGGGAUUUAUUAGGUUAUCUUGGAAUUUCACUUGGAAUAUGAUUCCUAAGAGGUGCUUCUGUGCAGAGUGCUUGGUGCUUCACUGCUGCAUUUGGGUACAGUGGAAAUACUUGGUUUACAUAUGCACCAUGGAAGUGUGCUAAUGGAGGAUUUCAAGUCACUGUAUUCUGAAUACUCCUGCUAUCAGUAGCCAUUAUAUUUUUGUCUUUACAGGAAUUAUAUGAGUACUCAUAUCAACUUUUCAUUUUUAGUUUUCUGUAAACCUGAAAUUUUUGUGGUUUGGGGAAGACUGAAAUAGCAUUUUGGAGGAUGUACUGUGAGAGGAUUUUAAAGAUGAAACAGAUGUGUUGUCAUUCCCUUUGAAAGUGGCAUUGUAUUUUUAAUAGAAAAUUAAAGGAGAAGUAUAUGUUGUCUGUUAAUAAACUUGUACUGAGGUUGUCAUGAUAAGUCUUACAGCUAGAGGAUGAACACCCUCUUUCCUGUAAACAGUCUUUUUAAAAUUAUUAUUUCAACCUAUAUAUUGUUGUGUUGUAAAUUUCUCUUUUCAUAAACCAAUAAAUGUUGUAGGG